UCCAGUUGAUAAGCAAGAAAAUGGCUGUUGUCAAUCCAUCCUUCUGUCUCAUCAUCUUUGUCCUUAUUUUUGCCUCAGUUGGCGAGAUGGCUCAUGUGGGCGAUGCAGCAAAGUCGAACAAAAGAUGUCAAGAUGGUCUAGGCGUGUGCGGUGAAUCGGUGUGCGAUGCGCCGUGUUGCAGCCGGAGAUGCACGGCCAAAUAUCCAGCAUACCUAAACCCCAAGGCAAUUUGUAUCUCACUUGUACCGCCACGCGUGUGCUUGUGCGAGUAUGAUUGUUAAGGCGUUUAAUCCCUUUUUUUCUUUGUGUUGGAAUUGAAAUAAAUACCAUUAUUUUUCAA